rnacentral:rRNA from 1 species
AUUGAACGCUGGCGGCAGGCCUAACACAUGCAAGUCGAGCGGAUGCAGGGAGCUUGCUCCUGGAUUCAGCGGCGGACGGGUGAGUAAUGCCUAGGAAUCUGCCUGGUAGUGGGGGAUAACGUCCGGAAACGGGCGCUAAUACCGCAUACGUCCUGAGGGAGAAAGUGGGGGAUCUUCGGACCUCACGCUAUCAGAUGAGCCUAGGUCGGAUUAGCUAGUUGGUGGGGUAAAGGCCUACCAAGGCGACGAUCCGUAACUGGUCUGAGAGGAUGAUCAGUCACACUGGAACUGAGACACGGUCCAGACUCCUACGGGAGGCAGCAGUGGGGAAUAUUGGACAAUGGGCGAAAGCCUGAUCCAGCCAUGCCGCGUGUGUGAAGAAGGUCUUCGGAUUGUAAAGCACUUUAAGUUGGGAGGAAGGGCAGUAAGUUAAUACCUCGCUGUGUUGACGGUACCAGCAGAAUAAGCACCGGCUAACUUCGUG